rnacentral:rRNA from 1 species
AGGUGGUUGUUAGACCUGUUUUUAAUAGUAUUCUUGUUUUUAGAUAUUUUUUUUAAAAAAUAAAAGAAAAAGCAUUUUUAUAAAGUGUAUUGUUGAAAGAAAUUUUUUUAUAAACUAGAGUGAAAGAGUACCGUGAGGGAAUGAAGAAAAUUUUAGGAAAGAAGAAAUUAAUGUUUGUACCUUUUGUAUGAUGGUUUAUCUAGAGAGAGAUAUAGAUUUAUUUUCCCGAAAUAAGUUGAGCUAUUAAGUUUUUAUGUCAAUGUAGAAAGAUUGUAUAGAAAGAAUUUAAUAGAAAUGAAAUAUUAGCCGCAACUUAGGAUAGCUGGUUGGUUAAUAAAGGUAUUUAAGUACCUGUUUUCGGAAGAUAAAUGUUUUAGGCUAUUUAUGCUUAGAAUAAGACGAACAACAUAGAGAGAAAAGGAUAAGCUUUUUUCUUUAGAUAAAAGUUUUUUUAAAAAGUAAUUAAAUGUGGGCUUAAAAUUAGUCAUCAAUUAAAGAAAUUGUUAUAAAUUAUAAUAAAAAAAUAUAACAUUGUUAGAAAAUUUUAUUCUUGUUUAUUAACUAUUUUUAAGAAAUUAAGAUUUAAGAGUAUUUCUGAUAAAAUGAGUAUUUGGAAAAAUUAUUCUUUGUAGUUUUAAAGUUAGAAGGAAAAAAAACAUUUUUAUUUUAAAAUAGGUAAAAGGAAUUCGGCAAAAAUCUGUUUCGCCGGUUUAUCAAAAACAUGGCUCUUCGUUCUAUGAAGAUGAGGAGUCGGACCUGCCCAGUGAGCAGUAAGCUUUAACGGCCGCGGUACCCUGACCGUGCAAAGGUAGCAUAAUCAUUUGCCUUUUAAUUGAAGGCUGGUAUGAAUGGUUUGACGAAAACGGAGCUGUCUCUUAUCUACUAUCUAAAAAUUAAUUUUGAUGUGAAGAAGCAUUAAUAAUUCUAAAAGACAAGAAGACCCUGUUGAGCUUUAAUAAGAGAAAAAAAUAAGAAUAUGAAUCAAAAUAAUAUUUUUUUAGUAUUAUUUUAGUUGGGGCGACUGAGGAACAAAAGAGCUUCCUUUGAUUUUUAUAAUAUAUUUAUUUUGAUCCAGAAAAAUUCUGAUUAAAAGAAUUAGUUACCACAGGGAUAACAGCGUAAUCCUUUUUUAGAGUUCUUAUCGAAAAAAGGGCUUGCGACCUCGAUGUUGGAUUAAGAUUUCCAGUUGGUGCAGAAGCUUUCUUUUGGUUGGUCUGUUCGACCAUUAAAAUCUUACAUGAUCUGAGUUCAGACCGGCGUAAGCCAGGUCGGCUUCUAUCUUUAGAAGAAAGAUAUUUUAAACUAGUACGAAAGGACCGUUUUAAAAUAAAUUUUUUAUAAAAAAGAAAUAAUUUAAUUUUUGUUUAAAAAAUGUUAAGUUGGCAGAAAAUAUGUGAU